GAACCGUAUGAUGAAUCUGAAUUUUCAUUCUCACAACGAUCAUCUGAGAUUCCAUUUGAUGGAAUUAUCCAUUAAUUCUGAUGGAAC